rnacentral:sRNA from 1 species
GUGCAGGCUCUCCACCGAAGGCUGGCUCUAGACUGGUGACUCCUUUUUGAAAUGGGACAGUUGGCAGCGGCUCUGGUGAGCCCGAGAAGAGGCCUGCCCUUGGGUGCGGAGCCUCCCUCCGCACGAUGCUCCCACGCGUCCAACUUGCACCCAAGGGGCUUUUCCCUCUUCCAAGUGGACUCCUUCAAGGAAGCUGCAGCUCGGUCAGCAGAGAAGGGGCCUGCCGCCAGCGCCCUGGAGGAAGAGGAAGAGGAACCCAAGAGGAUGGCUUGUCUCCCAGCAGCCACACCGGCUUUGUGCUCAGCCAGUUCAUUUGAGAAUUACAUGAACGACAGCCUUCGCACCGACGUCUUCGUGCGGUUCCAGCCAGAGAGCAUCGCCUGUGCCUGCAUUUAUCUUGCUGCCCGGACGCUGGAGAUCCCUUUGCCCAAUCGUCCCCAUUGGUUUCUUUUGUUUGGAGCAACUGAAGAAGAAAUUCAGGAAAUCUGCUUAAAGAUCUUGCAGCUUUAUGCUCGGAAAAAGGUUGAUCUCACACACCUGGAGGGUGAAGUGGAAAAGAGAAAGCACGCUAUCGAAGAGGCAAAGGCCCAAGCCCGGGGCCUGCUGCCUGGGGGCACACAGGUGCUGGAUGGUACCUCGGGGUUCUCUCCUGUCCCUAAGCUGGUGGAAUCCCCCAAAGAAGGUAAAGGGAGCAAGCCUUCCCCACU